CGACCAAAAAACCAAGGCUCGGUCCAAGCCCGAGCCCGAAAUGUCUAGAAAAACAGAGCCCGACCUCUACUCCUAGGCUUUCUUUUUUUUAAACACACGCAAACCCUACCCCUAUGAGCACCUCCGAAGACCGCCGGCAAACUCCAGAAUAACGAAAUCAGCACAGGCACCUCGCUGACGACGGGCACGUUGUCUCCCACUGAAAGCACAAAACCGUUAGAAUCCGUUAGAAUCCUGGAAAAUUCGCUCCAACGAGGAGUCAAACCCAGGACCUCAAGUGCUACUAAUGCCUUUGUAACCACUAGGCUACAAGCC
rnacentral:lncRNA from 1 species